UCCAAUAAUUUCGACUCCCCAAACCCGGUAGAAAUAAGUCACAAGCUUCUAAGAAUUUAUUCCGAGUGUCUCAAUACAUCAGAGUCUAAAGAGAAAUUAGGAAGAUAACAUAAUAAAGAUAGAGGGGGACUCCGAGGUCUGCGGACGCUGGCAGAUGUACCUUGAAGUCUCCGUGUACAGCUAGUUCACUGAUACCUGGUCUGAUAGGAAGUACUGGAUCUGCACAAAAAGAUGUGCAGAAGCGUAGUAUGAGUACACCACAACGAUACCCAGUAAGUGCCAAGCCUAACCUCGAUAGAGUAGUGACGAGGUCAGGUCAGACCAUACUGGAAAUAAUAAUAAAUAAGGCAGAAAUUUAUAAUAGGGUAAUGAAGUGACUCAGAAAUAAACGAAAUUUAUAGAAAGAUAACAAAACAACAAUUAGAGGUAAACAACAUUGGGCUCCCGAGGUACCACUUCGUAGUCCCAAAAUUACAUCUGCAAUACAGGGAGAUCUCCCGAGGAACCACCUUGUAGUCCUAAAAGUAAAUAUGCAGUACAUGGGAAUCUCCCGAGAAAUCGCCUCGUAAUCCCAAAGUAAAUAUGCAACAGAUAUCCGAAGGAAACAACGAAUUUACAACAAGAAUCUCACUGUUAAAGAUUUAAAUCAAAUAAAGGAAGCAGGUAAUUCAGCUAAGCAUGUUGCACAUAUGGCAAGUAAGAGUUAAGGCACGUAGACAUGUGAUACUAGGCUAAACAUAAUCAUUACAUAUACUAAAGCAACUCAGUUAAAAAAUUUAAAAGAAGAAUACUCAACAAGAACCAAUAUUUCCAAAUUUAGCCCGUGUACGCACUCGUCACCUCGCAUACAUGGCGCUCACAUAUCACAAAAUGUUACAAUUAUAUCAAAUCCUAAGGGGAUUUUUCCCACACAGGGUUAGACAAGCCACUUACCUCAAGCCAAGCUCAAUCAGUUAAUAAGAAUGCCUUUCCCUCGAUUUUCUGACUCCGAUCGGCUCGAAUCUAGUCACAAUUAAUUCGAUUUAGUCAACACAAAUUAUAGAAAUUAAUUUCAUAUGAAAAUAUAUAUUUUUUUUUAAAAAAACAAAAUUUAACUCAAAAUUUGCCCGUGGGGCACACGUCUCGGAAACUGAAAAAAGUUACAAAAUAUGAACGCCCAUUCAACCACGAGUUCAACCAUACAAAUUUUACCAAAUUCUGACAUCAUCUCGACCCUCAAAUCUUCAAUUUAAACCAAGAGGGUUUUCUAAAUCUUCCAACUUAAUUUACCAAUUAAAUAUUAAAAACAACCAUGGAUUCAGGUAAUUUGACAAAAAUUGAGUUAAGAACACUAACCCCGUUAUUUUCCUUGAAAAUCUCCCAAAAAUCGCUUCUUCCCGAGCUCCAAAUCGUUAAAAAUGGAUUU
rnacentral:lncRNA from 1 species